AUCGGCCGGCAUUCCUGUUGCAUUCUGGGUAAUGGAAUGUUGAAACGGCCCUGGGAGCUUAGGGAACCCUCGUGGAGCUCUAAAUAAGGCCUCAACAGACCACAGGAAGCCUUGUGCACUGAUACAAAUGGGCCAACAUAUUACUGAAGAGCUAAAAAAGGAAAAUAAAAACAAAACAAAUGCCAGGACAUCCAGAUGAUGGUAAAAAUAAGCUGGGAAGAUGACAGGAACUCAGAGCUCAGUCCUUCAGAGAAAAGGAUGCCACCAUGCGGCUGCGGCCUUCAGCCAGUUACUACAGAUCCUGGGUGGCCCUAUGGAAGAAUAUUCCUGAGAACCAUAAAACCAAAGAGUUAGCUCUAUCCGUGAAGACCAAAUCCAAUUUAUAAUAAGCGAUGAAGGUAUGCAGACUAGUACAUGCUGCUGCGGUGCACAUCUCAUCCAAGGAAGCCACUGAAUGGAAAACAGCUGAAGUGGACAGCAAUCUAAUGUAAUGAGUCUUCACUGGCAUUGCUAGUUUUAGAUCGUAUUACCUUCAUUUAUCACAAAAACAAACUCUAAGCCACCUGGACAAGGUAACUUUAGAAACAGAUUUUCCCAGGGUUGUGCUAACAAAGGAAAUAAACAACUGUUCUGUUGAGGUAAAAACAUAACUUGUCUGUGUAUGUCUAAACAAGUGUAGGCAGUAUUCUCCUUUAUUGGUAAAAUUUGGAAAGACAACGGGUAGGUCUAUAGUCUGAUUGAUGUUGGAAUCUGAGACUGCCUUUGGAGGGAAAGAUGGAUUGGUCCUGAGUGUAACUCUAUUCUUAUGGAAAAUUAAGUAAGGGGGCUUUGAACAUAAUCUUGCAAUUCGGAUACUCAUAUUGCAGAGGUCACAGCUAUAAGAAGUGUUUUCUUAGACAGAAACUUCAAGUCACAAGAAGCUGCUGGUUCAAAAGGAGAAAGUACUAGUGAUUGUAGAACAAUAAUUAGGCCCCAUGGGAGUAGGGGGUCUUGAAAGGGAGGCUUUAAUUGAAUGGUUCCCUUGAGGAAAGCUUAGUCUACAUGAAAUCAAUGGUAGGUCUCCGAAGCCAUUAAAGUUACAGAUGCCAACUAGAAUGACUUUAACAGUAGAUGCAAAUGCUCUUUUUGUAAAAAGGCUGGCCAGAAAUUCUAACACUUUCUCUACUGGUGCUGAGAAAGGGUCAAGACCAUUAUCACAAGCCCAUAUUGAAAAUCUCUCUGAGUUAGAGUUUUCUGGUGGAUGUUUUAUGUGAUGAUAGCAAUAUUUUCCUCACCGGGGAUGAUACCUCAUAAUGCCUGGUGACUAACGGAAUUGGAGGAACCAAGCAGUUAACUUGAGGCUUUAAAGACUGGGAUGCAACAGUCCCUGAGGGUGAGACAGAGGGUCUGGAACUGGGUCCAGAAUCCAUGAACGGUAAAACUAGAUGAGGCCAUAGGAAGGCAAACCAUAUUUGUUGAGGCCAGUAGGGUGCAAUGAGAAUUACUUGGCUUCUCAACCUGGCUGCUUUCUUUAGAAAGAGUGGGAUCAGAGGGAAAUGAGGAAAGGCAUAGUGAAGACCCGGGGGCCAAUCAAGAAGAAGAGCAUCUCUUGGGGAUUCCCGCUGAGGGAGGAGUAGGGCAAAGUAGAUUCUGCACUUGUUGUUUUGGGGUGAGGCAAAAAGAUUGCAGCAAGGCUGGCCCCAGUGACGAAAGAUCAUCUUCUCUAUCAUGGGAUUGAGACCACUUUUAAGGUGAAAGAAUGCACCUGCUCAGUUUGUCCACCCUUAUGUUUGAACUCGCUGGGAUGUAAAUUGCUAUUAGAAAGCGGUUGGAGGCUAUGGCCCAUUGCCACACUCAUAGGACCUGGUUCCCCCUUGCUUGUUGAUGUACCAGACUACUGACAUGUUGUCUGAUUGAAUAGCAAUUGUUCCUUGAGAAAGGAUGGGAUGAAAUGCCUGCAACGCCAGAAGCACCACCCUCAAUUAAAUCAAAAGGUGCUUCAACAAAGUAUUAGUUUAAGAGUGUGCACACACAACAAAGUAUUAGCUUA